rnacentral:lncRNA from 1 species
AUUAAAACUAUACACCUAUGAACAAGUCAGCUAUUUAGUUAAGCUCUGUUUCAUUGGAAGUUUGCAUUGACUCCCCAGGUCUUGAAUGCUUUGGGUGCCACACUGGCUGGCCGUUAAGGGUUGUGAUGAAAAAUCCCAGGAAGCUGAAGAGUGAACAUGAUCAUAAUCUCUAAAAUGGUCUUUGAGGAAUCACCACACUGUCUUCCACCAUGGUUGAAGCUAUUUGUGAUCUGCUUGGAUUUUAAGAAAAGAGAGUAGCCAUCGAAGACAGGAAGAGACUGUGUGGACAGCAACAGCAAAGGGCUUGGAGGAGGAAGAAGAGGAGAACAACAAAUGACAGAGAAAGCAUGGAAGGAAAGAAACCCGGACACAAUCAGUCAGCCAAUCCCCUGCUACAUUACAGCCACGAACAAGGAUUGUUUGUGCUGUGGCUGGGUUGUGAGGACCUUGGCCUUGGAUGUGUGAGUAAUCCAUGCCUGACCCUGUCGAGAUGUGCAGCUGCCCAGGUGAUUCAAAUGUGCAGCUGGAGUUGGAAGCCUCUGGUCCUGGGUGCCCAUCAAGACACGAGCAACUGAUGGGCCUGGCGUGGGGCCUUACUCCACUCAGCAUCUGAUUCCUUCUCAGUUCCAUCUUCUGUUUCUCUGAUGUCU